GGCGAGAUGGCCGAGCGGUCUAAGGCGCCAGACUAAGGAGACCAGCACGUACAGACGUGCAGUUAUCUGGUCCGAAAGGGCGUGGGUUCGAAUCCCACUCUCGUCA
rfam:Coprinopsis cinerea okayama7#130 chromosome 4 cont3.4, whole genome shotgun sequence.